UAGGGAAUCUUCCGCAAUGGACGCAAGUCUGACGGAGCAACGCCGCGUGAGUGAAGAAGGAUUUCGGUUCGUAAAACUCUGUUGUUAGAGAAGAACAGCGCAUAGAGUAACUGUUAUGCGUGUGACGGUAUCUAACCAGAAAGCCACGGCUAACUACGUGCCAGCAGCCGCGGUAAUACGUAGGUGGCAAGCGUUGUCCGGAUUUAUUGGGCGUAAAGCGAGCGCAGGCGGUCAAUUAAGUCUGAUGUGAAAGCCCCCGGCUCAACCGGGGAGGGUCAUUGGAAACUGGUUGACUUGAGUGCAGAAGAGGGGAGUGGAAUUCCAUGUGUAGCGGUGAAAUGCGUAGAUAUAUGGGGGAACACCAGUGGCAAAGGCGACUCUCGGGUCUGUAACUGACGCUGAGGCUCGAAAGCGUGGGUAGCAAACAGG
rnacentral:rRNA from 1 species